rnacentral:rRNA from 1 species
GACGAACGCUGGCGGCGUGCUUAACACAUGCAAGUCGAACGGAAAGGCCCUGCUUUUGUGGGGUGCUCGAGUGGCGAACGGGUGAGUAACACGUGAGUAACCUGCCCUUGACUUUGGGAUAACUUCAGGAAACUGGGGCUAAUACCGGAUAGGAGCUCCUGCUGCAUGGUGGAGGUUGGAAAGUUUCGGCGGUUGGGGAUGGACUCGCGGCUUAUCAGCUUGUUGGUGGGGUAGUGGCUUACCAAGGCUUUGACGGGUAGCCGGCCUGAGAGGGUGACCGGCCACAUUGGGACUGCGAUACGGCCCAGACUCCUACGGGAGGCAGCAGUGGGGAAUAUUGCACAAUGGGCGGAAGCCUGAUGCAGCAACGCCGCGUGCGGGAUGACGGCCUUCGGGUUGUAAACCGCUUUCGCCUGUGACGAAGCGUGAGUGACGGUAAUGGGUAAAGAAGCACCGGCUAACUACGUG